GUUUGAACAAGCUCCAGGAGAUGGUGAAGGAUAAAGAAGCCAAGUGUGCUACAGUCCAUGAGGCUGGUGAUUCCACAGGACCCAUUGCUCUGCCCCCAGGAUGCUGCUGUCAACUCUCCUUGCACUGGAUCCACCUGCUCAUCUUCCAGGUCUUUGCUCAUGUUCUUCCCUUUACCUGGUAGCCUGUCAUUUUUACCACAGAGCAACUGCCUCUCCUCAACUUUGGAGACUCAGUUUGUUUUGUCACCUCUGGAUUUCUUGUCAACAGUUGAUCCCAGGCAAGUUCCAAAUAGUCACAUUGUCUUUAUUGCAAUGGCUUCUGUGUAACUCCUAUCAGCCCUCUAUACUUUGGUAUCUGAUCUCUACCUGCAUCCUUCUACCAUGAAGACUCACCAGCUCUGAAGCAAUUUGGCUACUCUGGAUCACGUUCCUUCCCUGAGCUUGUGUUUACUGAGCAGUAACUCUGUGCCAGACACAGAUUGAAGGCACUAAAUUAGGAGGCGGCUCUAGAUGCUUGUCUGCUUGGAGCCUGCAGGCUAGUGAAAUAGACUGAGAGAUCAAGGGGGCAUAAGAGGAGGGCGUCAUGAAAGUGUGAUGGACAGAGGACAAAGCCUAUGGGGAAGCUUUGGGGAAGGGGGCCUAACUCAGAUCUGGAUGUUAAGAAAGUCUUCCUGCA